rnacentral:rRNA from 1 species
AGAUACCCGUGUAGUCCUAGCCGUAAACGAUACUCGCUAGGUGUCGGCCACGGUGCGACCGUUGUCGGUGCCGUAGGGAAGCCGUGAAGCGAGCCACCUGGGAAGUACGGCCGCAAGGCUGAAACUUAAAGGAAUUGGCGGGGGAGCACAACAACGGGUGGAGCUUGCGGUUUAAUUGGAUUCAACGCCGGAAAUCUUACCGGGACCGACAGCAACAUGAAGGCCAAGCUGAAGACUUUGCCGGAUUAGCUG